UGACGAAAUGUUAUGAAAUUAUUUAAGGGAGAAAUACUGGUUGUUCACUGUUUUUUCUUUCCUGAAUGCACAGAUUGUGAGUAAAGAAGGUGGAUUGCUCUUAAAAGAUAAUUGUGAGGGAGGGGCUACUUGGGCAUAUGAGGUUGGCUCACAAUCAAUGGUGUGCCCUAUCAUAGUUGAGGAUCUUAAUCCUCCUCGUUAGAUGCUAGUGGAGAUGCUCUGCGAGGAACGAGGUUUCUUUCUGGAAAUAGCUGACUUAAUAAGAGGAUUAGAUUUCACCAUCUUGAAGGGGGUCAUGGAAGCCCGCAAUGACAAGAUCUGGGCACGCUUUGCUGUUGAGUGCAGAAUCAAGAACCUGCAGUUGAUUUUGAGACUGUUGUAAAUGUGAAGCAGCAACAUGAAGUUAACAUUGGAGCAUGUGAAAGCUCGCUUGCAUGUUACUACAGGUGAUCAAGAUAGUCAAGUAGUUCUCUCGAGUCUUGAGCGCAUUGAUACAAAAGAUCAUCAAGGAUAAAAAAGGGAUAGACAACUCAUGGCCCUACAACAAUGACAAGGCCUAAACAGAUGCUCUAAUCUCCCUCGCGUCUUUCUGGGUGCAGCAGGCAUGGCUAAGACAGUUUGCUCUCUUGCAGUGUGGCUUUUUGCUGGUUCGGCGAUGUUUUUACUGCGUUUUCCACUGUGUUUUUGCUGCAACAACUCUGUUUUCAAGUUGUGUUCUUUGCUGGCCCUAUUGCAGUAAGAUGGAGCAGUGCCUGUAUGAUGGAUGUUUAAUUUUCUUUUUGAUGAUGCUGCGUUCGAAGUUACAAUAUUGCUAAUGUUAUACACACUUGUUAUAAGAUUGCAGAUCAUAGUUACAAUAUUGCUAAUGUAAUUUUUUCUCUUAUGCUCAAAGACUGAAGUGAAAUACUUUUUAAUUUUGUUGGUUUUGAGUUCGUGUGGU